rnacentral:piRNA from 1 species
UGCGAUUGGUGGUUAUAGAACCACAUGAUGU